GUGACGCUGGCGGCAUGCUUCACAUGCAAGUCGAACGGUAACAGGUCUUCCGAUGCUGACGAGUGGCGAACGGGUGAGUAAUACAUCGGAACGUGCCCGAGAGUGGGGGAUAACGAAGCGAAAGCUUUGCUAAUACCGCAUACGAUCUCAGGAUGAAAGCAGGGGACCGCAAGGCCUUGCGCUCACGGAGCGGCCGAUGGCAGAUUAGGUAGUUGGUGGGAUAAAAGCUUACCAAGCCGACGAUCUGUAGCUGGUCUGAGAGGACGACCAGCCACACUGGGACUGAGACACGGCCCAGACUCCUACGGGGAGGCAGCAGUGGGGAAUUUUGGACAAUGGGCGCAAGCCUGAUCCAGCCAUGCCGCGUGCAGGAUGAAGGCCUUCGGGUUGUAAACUGCUUUUGUACGGAACGAAAAGACUCUGGUUAAUACCUGGGGUCCAUGACGGUACCGUAAGAAUAAGCACCGGCUAACUACGUGCCAGCAGCCGCGGUAAUACGUAGGGUGCGAGCGUUAAUCGGAAUUACUGGGCGUAAAGCGUGCGCAGGCGGUUAUGUAAGACAGAUGUGAAAUCCCCGGGCUCAACCUGGGAACUGCAUUUGUGACUGCAUAGCUAGAGUACGGCAGAAGGGGAUGGAAUUCCGCGUGUAGCAGUGAAAAUGCGUAGAUAUGCGGAGGAACACCGAUUAGCGAAGGCAAUCCCCUGGCCUGUACUGACGCUCAUGCAAGAAAGCGUGUGGAGCAAACAGGAUUAGAUACCCUGGGUAGACCAAGCCUAAACGAUUUCACUGGUAAUGGGUUUCCAUGACUCAGAAGAAGAUAACGUGAAGUGACGCU
rnacentral:rRNA from 1 species